rnacentral:rRNA from 1 species
GAGGGAUCAUUACAGAGUUGCAAAACUCCCUAAACCAUUGUGAACGUUACCUAUACCGUUGCUUCGGCGGGCGGCCUCGGGGUUUACCCCCCGGGCGUCCCUGGGCCCCACCGCGGGCGCCCGCCGGAGGUCACCAAACUCUUGAUAAUUUAUGGCCUCUCUGAGUCUUCUGUACUGAAUAAGUCAAAACUUUCAACAACGGAUCUCUUGGUUCUGGCAUCGAUGAAGAACGCAGCGAAAUGCGAUAAGUAAUGUGAAUUGCAGAAUUCAGUGAAUCAUCGAAUCUUUGAACGCACAUUGCGCCCGCCAGUAUUCUGGCGGGCAUGCCUGUUCGAGCGUCAUUUCAACCAUCAAGCCCCCGGGCUUGUGUUGGGGACCUGCGGCUGCCGCAGGCCCUGAAAAGCAGUGGCGGGCUCGCUGUCGCACCGAGCGUAGUAGCAUACAUCUCGCUCUGGUCGCGCCGCGGGUUCCGGCCGUUAAACCACCUUUUAACCCAAGGUUGACCUCGGAUCAGGUAGGAAGACCCGCUGAACUUAAG